GACGAACGCUGGCGGCGUGCUUAACACAUGCAAGUCGAACGGAAAGGCCCUGCUUUUGUGGGGUGCUCGAGUGGCGAACGGGUGAGUAACACGUGAGUAACCUGCCCUUGACUUUGGGAUAACUUCAGGAAACUGGGGCUAAUACCGGAUAGGAGCUCCUGCUGCAUGGUGGGGGUUGGAAAGUUUCGGCGGUUGGGGAUGGACUCGCGGCUUAUCAGCUUGUUGGUGGGGUAGUGGCUGACCAAGGCUUUGACGGGUAGCCGGCCUGAGAGGGUGACCGGGCACAUUGGGACUGAGAUACGGCGCAGACUGCUACGGGAGGCAGCAGUGGGGAAUAUUGCACAAUGGGCGGAAGCCUGAUGCAGCAACGCCGCGUGCGGGAUGACGGCCUUCGGGUUGUAAACCGCUGUCGCCUGUGACGAAGCGUGAGUGACGGUAAUGGGUAAAGAAGCACCGGCUAACUACGUG
rnacentral:rRNA from 1 species